CCGUAAAUAAAAUUUAGACAGCCUAACACUUAAUUUGAAGCCAUAGUCCUUAUGUUAUACAAUAGCUUGAAACCAUAAGUCUAACAUGGAACUCCAAUUUAUAGCUAAAACCUAAUUUUACAGUAGAUCUACAAACACGCAGAUUUGAAGACAUGACGUCACACCUCGCUUUAUGAUGCUUUCGGUUUAUUUUGGGAGGAGUCCCUGAGCAUUUUGGGACCAGCAUUUUAAUGUAUUAGUUACCUUUCCAUGAAGAUUAACCGGAAACAGAGUAAGAAACGAGGUGUGGAUCUCCUUAGGUUGCUCCUGCUCUCAGGACCUCCAACACUGAUGCCUCAUGAGGAAACCAGAGUACACAGUGAAAACCCACAGAGGCGAGAGGAGAACAUGCAAACUCCACGCAGGAAGGCCAGAGCCCGAGAUUGAACUCUUGAUCUUCAAACUAUGAGGCAGACAAUUUAACCACUCGCCCACCGUGCUGUUUUGACCAACACAAAACCAAGAAAUUCCUUGUGGUUGAAGUCAUGGGAAGAGUCUUGUAUACCUGUACUGAAUGUAUGAACAGUAUGUGUGCCUUCUUUGUAUGUUUUAAAUGAAAUCAACAGCCCAAAUGACAGCCCAAAGAUUACUGAAAACAUGAUUCAAGCUUUAAAAUGACCAGCAGGAAUUGCCUCCUUUUGUUUAACAGAAUGUGAACAUCAGACUUUUGACAUGAUCACCUUAAAACAUCAAACUCAUCAUGUUAAAACAUGAAAUGUAUCAUAUUAAAAAGUUAUGGCUGUAAAACUCACUUCAGUAUAAGUUAUUCCUCUGGCGCGAAAACACAUAUAGUGGAGUAAAAUUGGUUCAAUGUUUUUUUUGUCCCGUUCUGUUGUCUCACUAGUUUCUCCACAGUGCGAGGCAUACUAGAGUCUAACAGCACAGCCGCAUACUCCGCUCAACGAAAACAGGACUGAAUGCAAAAAUGGUUCCCAUUAACGUGCAAAACAAAAAGCGCCCUGCGGCUGUACCAUCACAGUCAGGUGAAAACAAUACAGAAGCACUGGCAUUUUCCUCUCCCAUUGCUCAUAACUAGCCACAUGCCGCAAUGUGUCUGGGGG